rnacentral:rRNA from 1 species
GACGAACGCUGGCGGCGUGCUUAACACAUGCAAGUCGAACGUUGAAGCGCCUUCCUUUUUGGUGGGGUGGAUGAGUGGCGAACGGGUGAGUAACACGUGAGUAACCUGCCCCCUUCUUCUGGAUAACCGCAUGAAAGUGUGGCUAAUUCGGGAUAUUCUGGUUCUGUCGCAUGAUGGGUCUGGGAAAGAUAUUGUUUCGGUGGGGGAUGGGCUGGCGGCCUAUCAGCUUGUUGGUGGGGUGAUGGCCUACCAAGGCGGUGACGGGUAGCCGGCCUGAGAGGGUGGACGGUCACACUGGGACUGAGACACGGCGCAGACUCCUACGGGAGGCAGCAGUGGGGAAUAUUGCACGAUGGGCGCAAGCCUGAUGCAGCGACGCCGCGUGAGGGAUGGAGGCCUUCGGGUUGCGAACCUCUUUCGCCAGUGAAGCAGGCCUGCCUCGUUUGUGGGUGGGUUGACGGUAGCUGGAUAAGAAGCGCCGGCUAACUACGUG